CUUUACUGUAACCUGAAAUUGAAUUUGGGCUUUUUUUGCGCAGUCUAAGUGGGAGGUGUUGAAAAUAUUUUUUUGGAAAUAUUGAAGCCAAAAUUGAGAGACCACUCUGAAAAAGUUAAAAUUCUAAGGGCGUUCCUUGAAGCAGGACGCUUAACAGUUUUAGGCGGGCAGUUUGACUGGGGCGGUCGUCUCUUAAAAAGUAACAGAGAUGUGCAAAGGUUUUUUCAGACUGGACGGAAAUCAGUUUUUGAGUAUAAAGGCAUAAAAAAGCUUGACUGUAAGACCUACAAGUCAAACAGGGGCGAAAGCCGGUCUUAGUGAUCCGACAGUGCUGUGUGGAAAGGCUGUCGCUAAACGGAUAAAAGUUA
rnacentral:rRNA from 1 species